UGAUAAGACAGGUGGAACUACGUGGCUAAUAACUGUUGUAACGGGGAUCAUUAUCGUAGCAACACAUCUUUGGGGGUGAAGGCUUUCCCGCGCGAUGUUAGCUAAGUUUUCAUGUUACCGGGUGUAGUUCGUAAAGGUUGAUAUGUGUAUGUUAGGAUGAAGCGUGAAUUCAUGCCAGGAAUAUAAGUGUGAAGUUUGAUUUCCUCCCUUCUGUAAUAAGCAGCCAAUGAGUUCUCACGGAAGGUGAUAAUUCUGACUAAACUACAGAAUAAAGCCGCCAGUUAAAAUCAA